UACAGAGGUGGCAAGCGUUGUUCGGAAUUACUGGGCGUAAAGGGCGCGUAGGCGGUCUUGUAAGUCCCGUGUGAAAGCCCCCGGCUCAACUGGGGAAUGGCACGGGAAACUGCGAGGCUUGAGUUCGGGAGAGGGAAGCGGAAUUCCGGGUGUAGCGGUGAAAUGCGUAGAUAUCCGGAGGAACACCGGUGGCGAAGGCGGCUUCCUGGACCGACACUGACGCUGAGGCGAGAAAGCUAGGGGAGCAAACGGG
rnacentral:rRNA from 1 species